rnacentral:misc_RNA from 1 species
UCGAUUCCCGGCUAAUGCAUCAUACUACCUUUAGCCAAUGAGUUGCACCACCCGUGGUGGGUAUAGUGAUCGGUAUGUGUAUACCAUCCUUCUAGUCGAAAGUGCAUUGGUAUUGGGGCUGUCAUUUGCAGUAGAGGCCACAUGGGCUGCUAGCCCCACCCUGUCCCAGGUGUGAGCCUUUGGGCCGCCAAGUGGAUUAACAUUAUUGAUUUGUAAGGCUCACAG